AUGGCUAGCCAUGUCGCCACGACUCUGCCGCCGUUGCUGCCUACCCCGGCGCGCUGCCACCUCCUGACGCCUCCUCCGGCGGUGUACACGGCUCGUGUGGAGCUGGACAGCAAGAAGCAGCAGCCUGGACGUGCCUCGAUGAGCCGAAGCUGGAUCAAGGACAAGGCCGACCUUCCUGGACGUGCUUCGCGGAGCUCCAGCUGGGCCACUGACAAGACGCUCCGCCGUGCCGAGAGUUUGAACGGUGGCGUCGAGCGCCUCGGCCGCGUGGAGACGCCGAGGGAAAACUGGAAGAGGCCGGCGAGCCGCGCGCCAUCCGUCGACCGAUGCGACAAGAAGCCGAGGCCUCCCACUGAGAUGGUGGCAGCCUCGCAGGCAUCAAUCUCCGCUGGCCCGAUGUCGUCGGUCGGCCUGUCCGAGAAGAAGGCAGAGCCUAUGACUGAGAUGGUGGCAGACUCGGUGGUGACAUCGUUCGCUGGCCCUGCUCCGUCGAUCGACCGGUCGGAGAAGAAGGCAGAGCCUUCGACUGAGAUGGUGGCAGACUUGGAGGCGGCGACACUCUUGGCUGGCCCUGUGGUGUCGGUCGACUGGUUGGAGAAGAAGGUGACGCCUCCGACCGUGAUGGAGGCAUCGCCCUUCGCCGGCCUCGCUUCGUCGAUCGACCGGUCCAAGAAGAAGCCGGAGCCUCUGACUAAGAUGGAGGAGGACUCGGAGGCAUCAUUCUUUGCUGGCCCGACAUUCAUGGUGUCGCCGGACCCGAGCGAGCUGCCCAUGCCGACCUUCAUUGUGUCGCCGGACCCGAGUGAGCUGCCCAUGCCCACCUUCCUCUAUAAGCACAAGGUCGCUAAAGUUUUAGCUAGAUUAGUCGCUCCGAUGCUCAUUGAUCAGCAAGAUUGA
rnacentral:rRNA from 1 species